GGGUGGCCGGCCAUGUGCUAUUUUAGAGUGGUGUGAACCCAAUUUUAUAAAGUUUAACUCCCAUUUAAUUAAGAAGUCAAGUGGGCAAGUGGGUAGAAAAACACUAAAGUGUUUUGUGAUAUUUUGAAGAGUUGUGUGAGCCAUUCUAACCCCCAAAUCCGACCACUCUCCCUCCCUCAUUCACUCUCAUCUGAUUUUUGAAGACUCUCUCAAGUGUUCUCUCUAUUUUCAACCCCAAGAACACCAAAGAAACUUGGAAGCUAAGUCUUGGUCUAGGAAGGGUUUUCCCUAAGUUGGUUAGGGUUUUUGAAAGGUUUUGGAGGAGCCAAAGCUAAUAGGAAGGUCCAAACCUUAAGCAAGAACACCAAAGAGUAUUGGCUAAGCGUAAUUGGACUGAACGUUGGAGGGUGAAAACCUGCUGAGCGCUAAGGACUCCAAGUAAGGGCAAGGGCAAGGGCAAGGCAGAGCAGUGAGCGCUGGAGUCUUCCUUGCAAAUGUACAUGUGGACCGACCUUUUGGGAAGCCUUUUUAUUUUUGGAAAUGUUGUGUAAUUUUCCUAAACUAGGCUCACUCUAAUCUUUAUAAAACAUGUUUGUAACUAAA